AGAGUGAACGCUGGCGGCAGGCCUAACACAUGCAAGUCGAACGGCAGCACAGGGGAGCUUGCUCCCUGGGUGGCGAGUGGCGGACGGGUGAGGAAUACGUCGGAAUCUGCCUAUUUGUGGGGGAUAACGUAGGGAAACUUACGCUAAUACCGCAUACGACCCCAUUUCGAGAGUCAUGGGGUGAAAGCGGAGGACCUUCGGGCUUCGCGCAGAUAGAUGAGCCGACGUCGGAUUAGCUAGUUGGCGGGGUAACGCCCACCAAGGCGACGAUCCGUAGCGUGGUCUGAGAGGAUGAUCAGCCACACUGGAACUGAGACACGGUCCAGACUCCGUACGGGAGGCAGCGAGUAGGGGAAUAGUUGGACAAGU
rnacentral:rRNA from 1 species